rnacentral:rRNA from 1 species
AUUGAACGCUGGCGGCAGGCUUAACACAUGCAAGUCGAGCGGGGACUUCGGUCCUAGCGGCGAACGGGUGAGGAAUGCUUGGGAAUCUACCCAGUAGCGGGGGAUAACGUUUCGAAAGGAACGCUAAUACCGCAUACGCCCUACGGGGGAAAGGGGGGGAUCUUCGGACCUCUCACUAUUGGAUGAGCCCAAGUCGGAUUAGCUAGUUGGUGGGGUAAAGGCCUACCAAGGCGACGAUCCGUAGCUGGUCUGAGAGGAUGAUCAGCCACACUGGAACUGGGACACGGUCCAGACUCCUACGGGAGGCAGCAGUGGGGAAUAUUGGACAAUGGGCGAAAGCCUGAUCCAGCCAUGCCGCGUGUGUGAAGAAGGCCUUCGGGUUGUAAAGCACUUUAAGCGAGGAGGAAUGGCUCUUGGUUAAUAACCUUGAGCAGUGACGUUACUCGCAGAAUAAGCACCGGCUAACUCUGUGCCAGCCGCCGCGGUAACAC